rnacentral:rRNA from 1 species
UACGUAGGGUGCGAGCGUUAAUCGGAAUUACUGGGCGUAAAGCGUGCGUAGGCGGUUCGUUAAGUUCGUUGUGAAAGCCCCGGGCUCAACCUGGGAAUGGCAAUGGAAACUGGCGGGCUGGAGUAUGGCAGAGGGGGGUGGAAUUCCGCGUGUAGCCGUGAAAUGCGUAGAGAUGCGGAGGAACACCGAUGGCGAAGGCAGCCCCCUGGGCCAAUACUGACGCUCAGGCACGAAAGCGUGGGGAGCAAACAGG